CUUCUGUGUUUCCAUGGAACAACUCCCUGCUUUGUCCAGUUGCUUGUUCCCUCCACAGGGCCAAGAAACACUGUCCCUUUCUCCAGUCCAUAUUCCUCCCCCACAGGUCCGGAUCUAGCCUCCUUGUUAAAAGAUGAUUUUCGAUAUUAAUUUUACUAUUACUGGUUGGUCACAGCUUUGAAGAUUCUACUUCUCCAAGUUAUUCCAGUUCUAGAAAAGAAUUCUCUAGCUUCAGCUCACCCCGAGGACCCCUUGAGAGGAGUCAGCCAUUUUACCCUCUAGAAGCUAGGCUGGAAACCAGAUGUGGUACUAACCCAGCUUUGACCACAUAGAUGACUAUGAUGCCCUAAAUACCAUGGUGACUUACAAGAAACAUAGGUUCUUGAAUGGCUGAGAGGAGCAGAGCUGCUUCAUGGACCUAUGCCAUUGACUUUCAGCAAUUGUAUUAUUGGAUUUCAGCAUCCCCAGUGAUGAAUUAAGUUGGGCUUAAAUAUGGCCACAUGGGCACAAUUUCUACCCAGAGAGAAGCAAUUCAAGGCUUCAGUGCCUUCCACUCCCACCCUUCCAGGACUGAUUGACUGACUAAUACCGUCAAAGGACUAGCUGUAAUUAGUGAUCCCACGCAUCUUGCACUUUGGGAAAUGUGAUCUGUUUCCUUUUAUCUAAUGCCUGAAUCAGCAAAUGGAGAGAAGUAGGAAUGGAGAGAGAGAAUGGUCAUGCUUCAGAUUGGUAGCACAAAGAUGUCUUGAGAAGAGAAAUGAGAAAAUAACUUAAGUAUCCAAUUCGUUAAAAGUUUUAUGCCCUAUUUCGAGUGGGAAGCUUGAAGAGAGGGUCUAAGUCUGGGAAUAAUUGAUUGUACCAAUUUUGUUGCAGUUUUAGAUCAUCUCCUUGGGAUGGGAAAUUAAAAGCCAUCUAGUCCAAACACUCAGGAAGCAGGCCAGCCAUUGUUAUUUUUAAGAAAAAGGCUGAAAUGGAAAAUCUUAGAUGGAAGCUGCAGCUUUCAGUUUGUCUAUGCAGCUCUUCAAUUUGAACAGAGAUUCACUUGAACAAAAGGCAUCAUUUCAGGCCAGAAUGGUCCCCAGUACCCUCCUUACGAAAUAAAUGGUGUACCUCCAUUUGUCAAGUUAUCAUCUCCCUCCCUUGACAGCAGAUGUGAAUUUCACGGCAUUUCCCAUUUCAAAGCCUGUGACAAACUUGGUUUGAAGCUUCUGCUCACAAAUGCUCCAAAAUGCAUUUCACUCAUUGCCCUCUAGUGAAAUGUACUAUUUUCCCCUCCUGAUGAUUAACUACUUUGAGCACUGGAAACAAUAUACAGUAAGGUCAUUAUUGAAUCCCCUCAGCUAAAAAUAUUCAUGGGAAAGACUGAGACCUGGCCUCUAUUCAGAGGUAGCAUGGACCUUUGAGCAAGCCAUGUUUGGCUUCUUCAAUGGCAACUCAGCGAAGUACAAAGGUAUAGAUGUUCACAGUUUCAGUUCAUAACAUCUUAGAACAGGAUUCACUUCAAGUUAAUGAUCUAUUUAAAAUGAAGCUGGGGUAAGGAAAAUAAAUAAAUGCUUGAUGAUCUUAUUGCUUCAA